UACGAGAGGCCCAAACGUUAUUCGGAAUUACUGGGCUUAAAGAGUUCGUAGGCGGCGCGGUAAGUCGGGUGUGAAAUCUCGGAGCUUAACUCCGAAACUGCAUUCGAUACUGCCGUACUUGAGGACUGGAGAGGAGACUGGAAUUUACGGUGUAGCGGUGAAAUGCGUAGAUAUCGUAAGGAAGACCAGUGGCGAAGGCGGGUCUCUGGACAGUUCCUGACGCUGAGGCACGAAGGUCAGGGGAGCAAACGGG
rnacentral:rRNA from 1 species